rnacentral:tRNA from 1 species
GCAGUGCUGGUUCAGUGGUAGAAUUCUCACCUUCCAUGCAGGAGACCCAGGUUCUAUUCCUGGCCAACGCA